rnacentral:rRNA from 1 species
GAUGAACGCUGACAGAAUGCUUAACACAUGCAAGUCUUUGGCGAAGCUGUGCUUGCACAGCCUAGCCAAGGCGGACGGGUGAGUAACGCGUAAGGAACUUGCCCUGCAGUCAGGGAUAACAGACGGAAACGACUGAUAAGACCUGGUAAAGUCAGGCGGACUCAUGUCCAGCCUGAUGAAAAGUGAUGCUGCAGGAGAGCCUUGCGUCCUAUUAGCUUGUUGGUGGGGUAACGGCCCACCAAGGCGAUGAUAGGUAGCCGGCCUGAGAGGGUGGACGGCCACAAGGGGACUGAGAUACCGCCCUUACUCCUACGGGAGGCAGCAGUGGGGAAUAUUGGACAAUGGGGGCAACCCUGAUCCAGCAAUUCUGUGUGCACGAUGAAGGUUUUCGGAUUGUAAAGUGCUUUCAGCAGGGAAGAAAAAAAUGACGGUACCUGCAGAAGAAGCGACGGCUAAAUACGUG